ACACACACACACACACACACACACACACACACACACACACACACACACACGUCUAGACAAGUCCCCUUGUGUCGUUGACGUCUGGAUAAUCUCUGUACCCAUCUUCUACUCCUCUUGAUCCUGUGUGGUAUUUAUGUAAAUAACAGCAGAAGGUUGUAAUGUACUGCAAUGUACUGUACUUUACUGUACUCUGUGCUCUGGUUUCAACAGAAUAAAGAGUUCAAUUCUAACAUCCA